CGGACUAAUGGAAGAGUAGAUUAAGCUAAUUUUCACAUUUGUCCAGAUCAGAAUAGUUCAAAAUCUUGCUCAAGUCAACACCAAUCGAGACCCAUAUUGAGUCAAAUUUCUACUGAUUUCUACUCAACCAAUUUUGUGCUGAUUUCCCCAAAUUUCCCUCCUACUCCUCCAUAAUUCAUAGCCUCCAAAUUGCAAUUCUCUGCCGUCUUUCUCUCAUUUUCUAAUUCUCACCAGAAGACAUAAACUACAAACUUAGCAUUUUUCUUACACGGAUUUAGUUUAAAAUUUGUGUCUGUGUGUAUUAAGUUAAACUAAAGUUGAAGAUUUCAUGUAAAGGUUUGAGCUACAUCUGCAAAUGAUCAAUUCAAUUUUUGGUGAAUUAAACAUAUUUAUAGAUUCUCCUUCGUUAUUUCAAUGAGUGAAAGGUGAAAAACACACGUAAAGAAUCCCGAGUUUCAGUAAAUGGAUACAGAAAUGGAUGAAUGAGAAUAGUUAAUAGGUAAGUAUUAAUUUGUGAUGGAGGGAUUCUGCUAAUUUGAUCAAUGAGAAAGGAUGAGAGUUGCUGAAUUGAAGACUAACAUAUCUGUGAAGAGCAGGUCUUUUCGUCCUACUUCUACACCCCAACGGCUGAUUUUUGAUGUUUCUAGUGAUGUUGAAGUAGGAGCGGCCAGUUUUGCUCUUCAAAAGCCAAGUGAUGCGGCUAGUUGACCUAUUUUGUCCAUGGAUGCAAAGAGACCAUAUGAUGAUAGUAAUCCUAAUGACGGCCAUUGAUUUCGUUACAGAUUGUCUUGGAUAUUCAAUUAAGAUGAUGUAACAGUGUGGUUGGAGCGAAUCUUAAAAUAUUGAAGGUCUUGUGUUUAAAUUUGAUUUUGGAGUUCGAAGAUACUAGUUUAUGUUGAAAAUUUGGAGUUUGAAGAUGCUAAUGUUGAAAAUUUAAUUUUGAAGUUUAA